rnacentral:tRNA from 1 species
AGCAAAAGUGGCCGACUCAGGCAAAAGACUGUAAAUCUUUUAAUGGCAUUUAGCCCAUUGCAA